AUUGAACGCUGGCGGCAUGCCUUACACAUGCAAGUCGAACGGUAACAGGUCUUCGGAUGCUGACGAGUGGCGAACGGGUGAGUAAUACAUCGGAACGUGCCCGAUCGUGGGGGAUAACGAAGCGAAAGCUUUGCUAAUACCUCAUACGAUCUACGGAUGAAAGCAGGGGACCGCAAGGCCUUGCGCGAACGGUGCGGCCGCUGGCAGAUUAGCUAGUUGGUGGGAUAAAAGCUUACCAAGUCGACGAUCUGUAGCUGGUCUGAGAGGACGACCAGCCACACUGGGACUGAGACACGGCCCAGACUCCUACGGGAGGCAGCAGUGGGGAAUUUUGGACAAUGGGCGAAAGCCUGAUCCAGUCAUGCCGCGUGCAGGAUGAAGGCCUUCGGGUUGUAAAAUGCUUUUGUACGGAACGAAAAGACUCUGGUUAAUACCUGGGGUCCAUGACGGUACCGUAAGAAUAAGCACCGGCUAACUACGUG
rnacentral:rRNA from 1 species